rnacentral:rRNA from 1 species
CAGGCUUAACACAUGCAAGUCGAGGGGCAGCAUGGUCUUAGCUUGCUAAGGCCGAUGGCGACCGGCGCACGGGUGAGUAACACGUAUCCAACCUGCCGUCUACUCUUGGACAGCCUUCUGAAAGGAAGAUUAAUACAAGAUGGCAUCAUGAGUCCGCAUGUUCACAUGAUUAAAGGUAUUCCGGUAGACGAUGGGGAUGCGUUCCAUUAGAUAGUAGGCGGGGUAACGGCCCACCUAGUCUUCGAUGGAUAGGGGUUCUGAGAGGAAGGUCCCCCACAUUGGAGCUGAGACACGGUCCAAACUCCUACGGGAGGCAGCAGUGAGGAAUAUUGGUCAAUGGGCGAGAGCCUGAACCAGCCAAGUAGCGUGAAGGAUGACUGCCCUAUGGGUUGUAAACUUCUUUUAUAAAGGAAUAAAGUCGGGUAUGGAUACCCGUUUGCAUGUACUUUAUGAAUAAGGAUCGGCUAACUCCGUGCCAGCAGCCGCGGUAAUACGGAGGAUCCGAGCGUUAUCCGGAUUUAUUGGGUUUAAAGGGAGCGUAGAUGGAUGUUUAAGUCAGUUGUGAAAGUUUGCGGCUCAACCGUAAAAUUGCAGUUGAUACUGGAUAUCUUGAGUGCAGUUGAGGCAGGCGGAAUUCGUGGUGUAGCGGUGAAAUGCUUAGAUAUCACGAAGAACUCCGAUUGCGAAGGCAGCCUGCUAAGCUGCAACUGACAUUGAGGCUCGAAAGUGUGGGUAUCAAACAGGAUUAGAUACCCUGGUAGUCCACACGGUAAACGAUGAAUACUCGCUGUUUGCGAUAUACAGCAAGCGGCCAAGCGAAAGCGUUAAGUAUUCCACCUGGGGAGUACGCCGGCAACGGUGAAACUCAAAGGAAUUGACGGGGGCCCGCACAAGCGGAGGAACAUGUGGUUUAAUUCGAUGAUACGCGAGGAACCUUACCCGGGCUUAAAUUGCAGAUGAAUUACGGUGAAAGCCGUAAGCCGCAAGGCAUCUGUGAAGGUGCUGCAUGGUUGUCGUCAGCUCGUGCCGUGAGGUGUCGGCUUAAGUGCCAUAACGAGCGCAACCCUUGUUGUCAGUUACUAACAGGUUCCGCUGAGGACUCUGACAAGACUGCCAUCGUAAGAUGUGAGGAAGGUGGGGAUGACGUCAAAUCAGCACGGCCCUUACGUCCGGGGCUACACACGUGUUACAAUGGGGGGUACAGAGGGCCGCUACCACGCGAGUGGAUGCCAAUCCCCAAAACCUCUCUCAGUUCGGACUGGAGUCUGCAACCCGACUCCACGAAGCUGGAUUCGCUAGUAAUCGCGCAUCAGCCACGGCGCGGUGAAUACGUUCCCGGGCCUUGUACACACCGCCCGUCAAGCCAUGGGAGCCGGGGGUACCUGAAGUGCGUAACCGCGAGGAACGCCCUAGGGUAAAACUGGUGACUGGG